UGGGGAAUAUUGGACAAUGGACCAAAAGUCUGAUCCAGCAAUUCUGUGUGCACGAUGACGUUUUUCGGAAUGUAAAGUGCUUUCAGUUGGGAAGAAAAAAAAUGACGGUACCAACAGAAGAAGUGACGGCUAAAUACGUGCCAGCAGCCGCGGUAAUACGUAUGUCACAAGCGUUAUCCGGAUUUAUUGGGCGUAAAGCGCGUCUAGGUGGUUAUGUAAGUCUGAUGUGAAAAUGCAGGGCUCAACCCUGUAUUGCGUUGGAAACUGUAUGACUAGAGUACUGGAGAGGUAAGCGGAACUACAAGUGUAGAGGUGAAAUUCGUAGAUAUUUGUAGGAAUGCCGAUGGGGAAGCCAGCUUACUGGACAGAUACUGACGCUAAAGCGCGAAAGCGUGGGUAGCAAACAGGAUUAGAUACCCUGGUAGUCCACGCCGUAACGAUGAUUACUAGGUGUUGGGGGUCGAACCUCAGCGCCCAAGCUAACGCGAUAAGUAAUCCGCCUGGGGAGUACGUACGCAAGUACG
rnacentral:rRNA from 1 species